UCCAAAAUUUACAAGAAAGAUUGCGACAUUACUCUGCAGAGAAUGCAAAGGUUGCUUGGAUACAAGCAUGCAAGGGGUGAAAUCUCAGAGAGAAGAGAAAUCAAUCGAGCCGCAGAGCCACAGAGUAUUGAUUUCCUUUUAUCCUCUCUUUUCGUUCUGUCCUCCGCGGCUCUGUUGUAUCGUGUUUGAUUUUGGUAUUUCUCGCACCGCAGAACAACAACAACAACAACAACAGCAACAACUCACCAUGCUCGCGUAUUUCUGUUCUCGGCGAGCGAAAAUACUCGUUGAUAUCGAUCUGCGGUUGACCCAGCUGUUGACCCAGCAAGGGUAACGUUAACAGAGAAUUCGUGCAUUCGUACCUCCGUCAAGCGACGGCGACGGCGACGGCGCCGUCGCCGUCGCAGAGAGGAUCCAAGCUACUCGCGUUACCUGCGGCUGUGAUCGUACGGACCUGUCACGUUUUCCCAUUAUUGUCGACUUUUGCACGAGCGCGGCUUCCAUUCUGGCGGCUGGCAUUCUUGAUGCUGAAAUCGAAACGAUCUCCGGCUGAUCACCGUCCUAUUAACGUUCUUCGAGAGAGCGUGAAGGGGACGCCAACGUGGGUUUAUCCGACAGCUCGACUUUUCCGAAUCGGAACACGGCUUGGGUGGGAUCGGCGCUCACGACUCUACACGAGCUUCUGUGCAACCGUGAGAACGGCAGCAGCAGGAUGCAGCGUACGUGUCGCAUCAGAUGAGACAGUCCGGCCGGACGCCGACGUUGGCGCCUUCCUGCUCGUCCAGAGGUUGAGGUCCAACGACAAUCGCGAGCUAGCAGCAGCGCGAGCAGCUGCAUGUGAGAGAGAGAGGACGCUUACUUGGGAACCAGGUGAGGCAAGAUUCGCGCAAGAGACGGACAAGUCAGAGAUGGGCGCAACACAAAAGAAUAUAAAUCGCGCAAUAGACCGCGCCGAGAGUGCUCGUCUCCGUCACGUUCUCUCUGCGAAUCGGGCGAUUCAACAUGGAGCGCGCACUCGAGCUCUUCUUCUUCGAGUUUUCUCUCGAUAGCCCGUCGUUUGGCCCGUCUCAAGGAAUACCAGCCUCUUGCUCUAUCGAGCUCAUUAAAAGAAUAGCGGACGGUCCCCUCAUUGCGCUGCCAGCCGCGCCAGCCGCGAGGGGGCAGGGAGAAGAAGUUGUGUACCAGCAGCCACCGCGAAGGGUAGGCCAUCGCACGCCACGGACGAAACGAGUCUCUCUGUUUGAUCCGCAAACAUUGUAAUUGCCUGGAAUAUUAUAUUAGGUACGCCGUUGCGGAUGACGACGGAGGUGGUGGAUGCACCGUCGCGCGUCGUCGUGGGCGGCCGGCGGCGACGGGUAUAGUCCCGAUGAGGGCUGUACGAGGGGUGAACAAAGGGAGACGAUGGGAAGGGCGACCGGACCGACGGCACCCCGGAGCAGAAACAAGAGCGAAACCCCGGAACAAUAAUUUAUUUUUGGUCUCCUCGUGGGUGGGUGGGAAACACGCUGGCUGUGGCAGGUAAUCUUCGCGAUGCCUCAGAAACGACUCGACUCGAGAGACGACAAACUCGGGAAAAAGAUGUCGGUCGCCACGAUGUUGAAGAACUGCUGUUGCGAUACGAUGACAAAGUCCAAUGAUUUAGCACGAGUUGAAUCGAACAAUCUGCAGUCUACAGUCAAAGUAGGUGGGUCUGAUUCAACACACGGACAGGGCAGUGCACGUUGCUUCAGUUGAGAUUUCACACCUAAUCGUAAUCGUGCUCGAAAGGAACUGCUAAAGGCGCGGGUCUCUCCCUUGUAUUUCCGGUGUUCCGGUGCCGCCAGUCAAUUAAAAAGAAAAAGAAAAGAAAUAUGAUCAGCACAAGUAUUACGGUGAGCUCAUUGUUGACUCGCGAUUAGUUGUAAUCACUUGCUAUAUAUAUAUUUCAACACGACGCGUGUAUUUCCUCAUUUUCACAUUUCGUCUUAAUCUCCUCGAUAGCUCCUCCCCUUCAUUUUUUCUCCCAUCUAGUGCGCGAAGCUGAACACGCGUGGUUAAUUAAACACCGUGCACUUUAUUUGGCCGCACGUAGGAGAAAGCGGCCAUCGAAAUGAGUCAUUAACUUUAAUCCCAUAGAGACUCGGUUUCCGAGCGUACGUUGCACAAGUAUCGUAAACGGAAGAUACCACGUAUGCGCUGAGACCUAACGUGGAAAAUGAGUAGAUCAUCUGACA